AACGAACGCUGGCGGCAUGCCUAACACAUGCAAGUCGAACGAGACCUUCGGGUCUAGUGGCGCACGGGUGCGUAACGCGUGGGAAUCUGCCCUUGGGUGCGGAAUAACUUUCCGAAAGGAAUGCUAAUACCGCGUAAUGUCGUAAGACCAAAGAUUUAUCGCCCAAGGAUGAGCCCGCGUAAGAUUAGCUAGUUGGUGGGGUAAAAGCCUACCAAGGCGACGAUCUUUAGCUGGUCUGAGAGGAUGAUCAGCCACACUGGGACUGAGACACGGCCCAGACUCCUACGGGAGGCAGCAGUGGGGAAUAUUGGACAAUGGGCGAAAGCCUGAUCCAGCAAUGCCGCGUGAGUGAUGAAGGCCUUAGGGUUGUAAAGCUCUUUUACCCGGGAUGAUAAUGACAGUACCGGGAGAAUAAGCUCCGGCUAACUCCGUGCCAGCCGCCGCGGUAACAC
rnacentral:rRNA from 1 species